CGAGAUGUCUUAGGGUCUCGUGGGCUCGGAGAUGUGUAUAAGAGACAGAUUAAGUAAUGCGGUCUCUAAAAAUUAGGUGAAAACUGAUUUUGAUGAGUAUUAUUAAAAAGGACUUAAACAAUUAAAGGAUAUACUUUAAUUAAAUUUAAUUCAAAAAACUUUUUUAUAAAACCGUACUAAAAACCAACACAGGUAAAUGGGUAGAGUAUACUAAGACGAUAAAGUGAAUCAUAGUGAAGGAACUCGGCAAAUUAACCUUGUAACUUCGGAAGAAAAGGUUUUUAUUAAGUAUAUUACUUAAUAAAAUAAUAUAAAAGGGGGUAGCGACUGUUUAAUAAAAACACAGGACUUUGCUAAAUCGUAAGAUGAUGUAUAAGGUCUGACACCUGCCAGGAACUGUGUAGUUAAAAUUAAAGAUAAUUAUUUUUAAUAUAAGCAGCAGUAAUCGGCGGCCAUAACUCUGAUGGUCCUAAGGUAGCGAAAUUCCUUGUCAACUAAUUAUUGACGUGCAUGAAUGGUGUAACGACUUCCCCACUGUCUCCACUAUGAGCUUUGUGAAAUUGAAAUAUUCGUGAAGAUGCGAAUUAUAUAUGGUUAGACGGUGAGACCCCGUGCACCUUUACUACAAUUUUUUAUUGAUUAUUUUUAUAAAAUUGUGUAGAAUAAGUGGGAGUUUAAAUUUAGUUUUAAACAACAAUGAAAUACCACUCGUUUUAUGAUUAAUAACUAACUUUAAAAAAAAAUUUAAAGGACAUAUAUAAGAUUGGUAGUUUAACUGGGGUGGUUUUCUACAAAAAGGUAACGGAGAAAUAUAAAGGUAAAUUAAUAAUUAUUGUUGUAAUAAUUAUUUAUGUAUAAUGGCUAAAAUUUGCUUGACUGUAAGAUUGACAAAUCAAACAGAAACGAAAGUUGAUCAUAAUGACCCGGUAAUUCUUUAUGGAAAGGUUAUCGAUCAAUGGAUAAAAGGUACGCCGGGGAUAACAGGCUGAUAAUUCUCUAGAGCUCAUAUCGACGGAAUUGUUUGGCACCUCGAUGUCGGCUCAUCACAUCCUAGAGCUGAAGAAGGUUCUAAGGGUUUGGCUGUUCGCCAAUUAAAGUGGUACGUGAGCUGGGUUUAAAACGUCGUGAGACAGUUUUGUCCCUAUCUGCCAUAUAAUAAAGAAAAGAAGAAAAGAAUAAUUCUAGUACGAGAGGACCGAAUUAGAUUGAUCAAUGGUAUAUAAGUUAUAAAUUCUCAAUUUGUAUUGCUUAGUAGCUAAAUCAAUGAAAGAUAAAUACUGAAUAAAUAUAAGUAUGAAGCUUUUUUUCUUAUUUUCUCAAAAAAAAGUAAGAGACUAUUACUUCUGUCUCUUAUACACAUCUCCGAGCCCACGAGACCCUAAGACAUCUC
rnacentral:rRNA from 1 species